GCCCGCCUAGCUCAAUCGGAUAGAGCGUCAGACUUUUAUUACAGGGUGGCUGGCAUAACUGGAAAUUGGAAAUCUGAAGGCUGCGAGUUCGACUCUCGCGGUGGGCU